rnacentral:rRNA from 1 species
GACGAACGCUGGCGGCGUGCUUAACACAUGCAAGUCGAACGGAAAGGCCCUGCUUGCAGGGUGCUCGAGUGGCGAACGGGUGAGUAACACGUGGGUGAUCUGCCCCUUACUUUGGGAUAAGCCUGGGAAACUGGGUCUAAUACUGGAUAGGACCAUGCUGUAGGUGGUGUGGUGGAAAGAUUAGUUUCGGUAAGGGAUGAGCUCGCGGCCUAUCAGCUUGUUGGUGGGGUAAUGGCCUACCAAGGCGUCGACGGGUAGCCGGCCUGAGAGGGUGGACGGCCACAUUGGGACUGAGAGACAGCCCAGACUCCUACGGGAGGCAGCAGUGGGGAAUAUUGCACAAUGGGCGCAAGCCUGAUGCAGCGACGCCGCGUGGGGGAUGACGGCCUUCGGGUUGUAAACUCCUUUCAGCCAUGACGAAGCCCUUGUGGUGACGGUAGUGGUAGAAGAAGCACCGGCUAACUACGUG